AUUGAACGCUGGCGGCAGGCCUAACACAUGCAAGUCGAGCGGAUGAAGGGAGCUUGCUCCUGGAUUCAGCGGCGGACGGGUGAGUAAUGCCUAGGAAUCUGCCUGGUAGUGGGGGAUAACGUCCGGAAACGGGCGCUAAUACCGCAUACGUCCUGAGGGAGAAAGUGGGGGAUCUUCGGACCUCACGCUAUCAGAUGAGCCUAGGUCGGAUUAGCUAGUUGGUGGGGUAAAGGCCUACCAAGGCGACGAUCCGUAACUGGUCGGAGAGGAUGAUCAGUCACACUGGAACUGAGACAGGGACAAUGCUACUGAGAGAGGCAGCAGUGGGGAAUAUUAGACAGUGGGCGAAAGCAUGAUACAGCCAUGGGGAGUGUGUGAAGAAGGUGUUCGGAUUGUAAAGACCUUUAAGUUGGGAGGAAGGGCAGUAAGUUAAUACCUUGCGGUUGUGACGGUACCAGCAGAAUAAGCACCGGCUAACUUCGUG
rnacentral:rRNA from 1 species